UACGUAGGGUGCAAGCGUUGUCCGGAAUUAUUGGGCGUAAAGAGCUCGUAGGCGGUCUGUCGCGUCUGCUGUGAAAACUCGGGGCUUAACCCCGGGCCUGCAGUGGGUACGGGCAGACUAGAGUGCGGUAGGGGAGACUGGAAUUCCUGGUGUAGCGGUGAAAUGCGCAGAUAUCGAGAGGAACACCUGCGGCGAAGGCGGGUUGCUGGGCUGACACUGACGCUGAGGCGCGAAAGCUAGGGGAGCGAACGGG
rnacentral:rRNA from 1 species